GAUGAACGCUAGCGGCAGGCCUAAUACAUGCAAGUCGAACGAGAGAAGGGAGCUUGCUCCCGGAUCUAGUGGCGCACGGGUGCGUAACGCGUAUGCAACCUACCUUAAUCAGGGGGAUAGCCUCUCGAAAGAGAGAUUAACACCGCAUAAAAUCACAGUCCGGCAUCGGACAAUGAUCAAAUAUUUAUAGGAUUAAGAUGGGCAUGCGUGACAUUAGCUAGUUGGUGAGGUAACGGCUCACCAAGGCAACGAUGUCUAGGGGAUCUGAGAGGAUGACCCCCCACACUGGUACUGAGACACGGACCAGACUCCUACGGGAGGCAGCAGUAAGGAAUAUUGGUCAAUGGAGGCAACUCUGAACCAGCCAUGCCGCGUGCAGGAAGACGGCCCUAUGGGUUGUAAACUGCUUUUAUUGGGGAAUAACCUCCUGUAUGUAUACAGGACUGAAUGUACCCAAGGAAUAAGGAUCGGCUAACUCCGUG
rnacentral:rRNA from 1 species